AUUGAACGCUGGCGGCAGGCUUAACACAUGCAAGUCGAGCGGGGUGAUGGUGCUUGCACUAUCACUUAGCGGCGGACGGGUGAGUAAUGCUUAGGAAUCUGCCUAUUAGUGGGGGACAACAUCCCGAAAGGGAUGCUAAUACCGCAUACGUCUUACGGGAGAAAGCAGGGGAUCACUUGUGACCUUGCGCUAAUAGAUGAGCCUAAGUCGGAUUAGCUAGUUGGUGGGGUAAAGGCCUACCAAGGCGACGAUCUGUAGCGGGUCUGAGAGGAUGAUCCGCCACACUGGGACUGAGACACGGCCCAGACUCCUACGGGAGGCAGCAGUGGGGAAUAUUGGACAAUGGGGGGAACCCUGAUCCAGCCAUGCCGCGUGUGUGAAGAAGGCCUUAUGGUUGUAAAGCACUUUAAGCGAGGAGGAGGCUCUUUUGGUUAAUGCCCAAGAUGAGUGGACGUUACUCGCAGAAUAAGCACCGGCUAACUCUGUGCCAGCAGCCGCGGUAA
rnacentral:rRNA from 1 species